AGAGUUUGAUCCUGGCUCAGGAUGAACGCUCGCGGCAGGCCUAACACAUGCAAGCCGAGGGGUAAGGUUCCGCUUGCGGAACACACGACCGGCGCACGGGUGAGUAACGCGUAUGCAACUUACCCUCUACUGGGGCAUAGCUCCGAGAAAUCGGAAUUAAUACCCCAUAACAUCUUAAAUUCGCAUGUUUUUAAGAUUAAAGUUCCAACGGUAGAGGAUGGGCAUGCGUGACAUUAGUUAGUUGGUGAGGUAAUGGCUCACCAAGACAGCGAUGUCUAGGGGGUCUUAAAGGAUGAUCCCCCACACUGGUACUGAGACACAGACCAGGCUCCUACGGGAGGCAGCAGUGAGGAAUAUUGGGCAAUGGAUGCAAGUCUGACCCAGCCAUGCCGCGUGCAGGAUGACGGCCCUAUGGGUUGUAAACUGCUUUUGUACGAGAAGAAACCUUCGAACGUGUUCGAAGCUGACGGUAUCGUACGAAUAAGGAUCGGCUAACUCCGUGCCAGCAGCCGCGGUAAUACGGAGGAUCCAAGCGUUAUCCGGAUUUAUUAGGUUUAAAGGGUGCGUAGGCGGAAUAAUAAGUCGGUGGUGAAAUCCUGCAGCUUAACUGUAGAACUGCCAUUGAAACUGUCAUUCUUGAGUACAGACGAGGUAGGCGGAAUGUGUCAUGUAGCGGUGAAAUGCAUAGAUAUGACACAGAACACCGAUUGCGAAGGCAGCUUACUAGACUGUUACUGACGCUGAUGCACGAAAGCGUGGGGAGCGAACAGGAUUAGAUACCCUGGUAGUCCACGCUGUAAACGAUGAUUACUCGUUGUGUGCGAUAUAUUGUACGCGACUGAGCGAAAGCAUUAAGUAAUCCACCUGGGGAGUACGUCGGCAACGAUGAAACUCAAAGGAAUUGACGGGGGCCCGCACAAGCGGAGGAACAUGUGGUUUAAUUCGAUGAUACGCGAGGAACCUUACCUGGACUUAAAUGCAGAACGACGUUCGCCGAAAGGUGUUCUCCCUUCGGGGCGGACUGCAAGGUGCUGCAUGGUUGUCGUCAGCUCGUGCCGUGAGGUGUCGGGUUAAGUCCCAUAACGAGCGCAACCCCUAUCGUUAGUUGCCAGCUGGUAAAGCAGGGGACUCUAACGAAACUGCCGGUGUAAACCGUGAGGAAGGUGGGGAUGACGUCAAAUCAGCACGGCCCUUAUGUCCAGGGCUACACACGUGUUACAAUGGCCAGUACAAAGGGCUGCUACUUGGUAACAAGAUGCAAAUCUCCAAAACUGGUCUCAGUUCGGAUCGAAGUCUGCAACUCGACUUCGUGAAGUUGGAUUCGCUAGUAAUCGUAUAUCAGCAAUGAUACGGUGAAUACGUUCCCGGGCCUUGUACACACCGCCCGUCAAGCCAUGGAAGCUUGGGGUACCUGAAGUCUGUAACCGCAAGGAGCGGCCUAGGGUAAAACAAGUGACUGGGGCUAAGUCGUAACAAGGUA
rnacentral:rRNA from 1 species